rnacentral:rRNA from 1 species
GACGAACGCUGGCGGCGUGCUUAACACAUGCAAGUCGAACGGAAAGGCCCUGCUUUUGUGGGGUGCUCGAGUGGCGAACGGGUGAGUAACACGUGAGUAACCUGCCCUUGACUUUGGGAUAACUUCAGGAAACUGGGGCUAAUACCGGAUAGGAGCUCCUGCUGCAUGGUGGGGGUUGGAAAGUUUCGGCGGUUGGGGAUGGACUCGCGGCUUAUCAGCUUGUUGGUGGGGUAGUGGCUUACCAAGGCUUUGACGGGUAGCCGGCCUGAGAGGGUGACCGGCCACAUGGGGAUUGAGAUACGGCCCAGACUCCUACGGGAGGCAGCAGUGGGGAAUAUUGCACAAUGGGCGGAAGCCUGAUGCAGCAACGCCGCGUGCGGGAUGACGGCCUUCGGGUUGUAAACCGCUUUCGCCUGUGACGAAGCGUGAGUGACGGUAAUGGGUAAAGAAGCACCGGCUAACUACGUG